AUUUGCAUAAAAAAUUCACUAGUUUUACGCUUUUGUAAAAGUAGCCACAUUUUUUUAAUUUUGCAGGUUCGGACCGGAUUUUCAGCAAAAUGAUCAAAAUAUCCUUAUUAUUUUUUCUCUCUUCUCUUUUUUUUCUUUCGUUCUUUUUUUUCUCUCUCCGAAGAAGCAAGCGGAGGCGGAGGCAAAUACAACUAGUCUCGCCUCUGCCCCGCACACCC
rnacentral:lncRNA from 1 species